AUGAGGAAUAUUGCGCAAUGGGCGAAAGCCUGACGCAGCGACGCCGCGUGGGUGAGGAAGUCCUUCGGGAUGUAAAGCCCUUUUGCCGGGGACGAUCAAGGACGGUACCCGGCGAAUAAGCCCCGGCUAACUACGUGCCAGCAGCCGCGGUAAUACGUAGGGGGCAAGCGUUGUCCGGAUUUACUGGGCGUAAAGCGCGCGUAGGCGGAAGUUCAAGUCUGGCCUGAAAGCCCCCGGCUCAACCGGGGAGUGGGGCUGGAAACUGGGCUUCUUGAGGGCGAUAGAGGAGUGUGGAAUUCCUGGUGUAGCGGUGAAAUGCGUAGAGAUCAGGAGGAACACCCGUGGCGAAGGCGGCACUCUGGGUCGGCCCUGACGCUGAGGCGCGAAAGCGUGGGGAGCGAACGGGAUUAGAAACCCUUGUAGUCC
rnacentral:rRNA from 1 species